UCAAAAUUUGGGUUGGAAAUCCAAUUGUGUUCUUUCCUUUUCAUGAUUAUUAAUUCCUGAAGGCCAUCUGUCAGAAACUAUAGAAAACAGCAAUAUUUUAAGUUGCAAAAACUUCUUAGAAAAAAUGAUUUUGGAAACUCCUGUUUUAGUACAGACUGACAGCUGUCAGAGGAGGGAAG